rnacentral:lncRNA from 1 species
GCUAUUGUUUUCAGGGCCCUAGAGGACCUCCAGGUGAACAAGGAAGCAAGGGAGACCGUGGGCAGCCUGGUUUGGCAGGACCAUCUGGAGAGAAGGGAGAUCGCGGACCACCUGGACCCGAGGGAGAAAAGGUAUGUUCAUUUAGUGCUUGUGCUGCUAUUCCUAAGAGGUGACUGGAUUGUUCGCAAAAUAGGCAGUUUAUGCUAUCCUUUUUCAAUUAAAAUUUAUUUACUUGUGUUAUCAGCUGUCUGUGCUCCACAUUUUUCUUAUUAUCCUCCCAACUUUUCACACUACUGGAAGUAAAAAAAUGCCCCUUAUAGAUUGGCACAUCA